CAGGUCUCAGGAGAGCUGCUCCAUCAUCAGAGGAGAUCAUGGUAGAUCUCUGGUCUUUAAGGAGAAACAAAGGCUAAGACACUGAUUGGCCUAGCCCAUCCCACGCAACAAAAGUUUGCCCCUCACUUCUAAUGCCAAGUCAUAAUUCUGGAUCAGUACAGUCAUCUGGCUUCUCCAGUCCUGUGCUGCCACUGCUGAACCUACACAACAGAAAUGUACCUGGCAAUGCCACAUGCACCCAGACCGGCAGUAUGAGGAAUGAGAGGUCUCCAGCCUCAGGAGGCCCCUUUACGUGAGAUCAGCAACCAGGAGGAUAGUCCUGGUUACCUUCCUCUCCCAUUCUCUACAGCAGCCAUAUAAAUGGACACAUGCUGUAAAGGCUGGCCAGCCCACAGCCACACCUCUCUCUGAUAACUUUCCCUCCUACUUUAAGAAAAAACUGAGUACCACAGACAUGAAGUCACUCCAGUGUUCCUACCCUAAAACCAUAUCCACCCACACUGUGCUCUAAGCUCAUCGUUUAGUGGAAUAUUUGUCUGGUUUUUAUAGCAACUGAGCCAACAAACAGAGUUUAUCAUUUUGUGUCAUUUUGCUCUGAAACUGGUACGUAUAUUUGAUGGGGUUGUGGCACAGUCUUUUUGCUUGCAAGUAGCAAAGACCCAACGGACAUAAAAAUAAACUGUAAAGGACAUAAAAUAAUAAUGUCAUCAAGGAGAUCCAACUGCCCAGGUUGCAGGUCUGGGAGCAGUGUAGUGCUGCUUGGAGGGUAGUGCUAAUCACAGCCCAGCUCUCACACAGCAGUGAGGGAUGCACCAGACAUCCACCUUCCCUUGCUUCUUUCACAGCCCACAGCAGAAGUGCUUCUGCUUAUGCUGAUAUCUCUGCUUCUAGUCAAUGGCAAUUUUGGUCUACAAGAAAGGAGGAUGAAAUAUGACAGAAGUGGCAGACAUUUCCAAUCAAAAAAUUGAUGUUAAAAAAAAACCUUGCAGCCAUGCUCUUAGACUGCAGUCUCAGAUCCCCUCUGCUGCCACAUCCUCAAAAUAGAGAUCUGAACUCUCAUUCAGCUCUGUGUUGAGGGAAGACUAGAGGAGGCUUUGGUGCAGAUGGCAGUUGAUGGAGACCAGGACAGCAGUAAUCGUUUAGUGCUGUGGCCAGAGGUCUCUAAUUAGAGCAAUAGCAGCCUGAACCAUGGCCACAUAUUAAAUAUCACGGUGAUCUUAUUGGGAAUGCUUUAUUGUUUAGCAAAGUCCUUUUUUCUGGAUGAAGUUUUAUUAUUUUUGUUUUCAGAAAACCAAAAGAAACAAAAUUGACCUGUAUAUCUUCAGGGAAGAAGAAACCAGACUCCAUGUCUCCAUGGCAAGACCAUCCAUGGAAGGAGGCGCUCCUUACUGUUAAACAGGAGACCAGAGCAAAACAAAACUUGGCCCAAAAGCUAUGGACCCAUUCAACCAUGGACUGAACACUCUAAUAAAAGUACUCUCCGUCCAUUAGCUCUUGGGGCAAAUCGUGCACUAAAGGACUCGAUUUGUUUCAAUUCCACAAUGUUUUCCCGAGAACAGUAACAUCAGAGCUGCUCUUCUGAAAAGAACAAUGAGGUAACUAAAUAAUUAGCCUAGCAAAGAAUAAUGUUCAACUGAUUAAACUGUGUUAUGAGCUCAACUGUGUCUCCUCCAAAGUGGAAGCCCUAACCUGCACACCUCAGCAUAGGAGCACACUUAGAAACUAGAUCUCUAAAGAUGUGACUGAGUUAAA